rnacentral:rRNA from 1 species
UACGUAGGGUGCGAGCGUUAAUCGGAAUUACUGGGCGUAAAGCGUGCGCAGGCGGCUUUGCAAGACAGAUGUGAAAUCCCCGGGCUCAACCUGGGAACUGCUUUCAAAACUGCUGAGCUAGAGUACGGUAGAGGGUGGUGGAAUUUCCUGUGUAGCGGUGAAAUGCGUAGAUAUAGGAAGGAACACCAGUGGCGAAGGCAAUCCCCUGGACCUGUACUGACGCUCAUGCACGAAAGCGUGGGGAGCAAACAGG